UGGGGAUAUUGCGCAAUGGGGGAACCCUGACGCAGCAACGCCGCGUGAAGGAUGAAGGUUUUCGGAUUGUAAACUUCUUUAAGUGUGGAAGAAGAUGACGGUACACACAGAAUAAGCCACGGCUAACUACGUGCCAGCAGCCGCGGUAAUACGUAGGUGGCGAGCGUUGUCCGGAUUUACUGGGUGUAAAGGGCGUGUAGGCGGGUUGUCAAGUCAGAUGUGAAAUACCGGGGCUUAACUCCGGGGCUGCAUUUGAAACUGACAGUCUUGAGUGCCGGAGAGGAAAGCGGAAUUCCUAGUGUAGCGGUGAAAUGCGUAGAUAUUAGGAGGAACACCAGUGGCGAAGGCGGCUUUCUGGACGGUAACUGACGCUGAGGCGCGAAAGCAUGGGGAGCAAACAGGAUUAGAUACCCUGGUAGU
rnacentral:rRNA from 1 species